UCGCUCCUACCGAUUGGAUGAUCCGGUGAAGUCUUCGGACUGUUGAUUAGACGCUGGUUUCCAGUAUCUUAACGAUGGAAAGUUGAUUAAACCUUAUCAUCUAGAGGAAGGAA
rnacentral:rRNA from 1 species